rnacentral:lncRNA from 1 species
AAAUAUAAAUAUUUUUUUUUUAAAAAGGACUCGUGGAGAACUCGGUGAAGUAAGACGGUAAACUGGAGAUAUUUUGGAAUCCUCAAAAUAAUAGUAUCAUCUAUCCAUUUCAGAUAGCGACCAAAAAAGAACCGUCAGAAUCACUCGGCAAAAACUCUGCGGUAUGAAAGCCUGAAUCUAUUCAAUUUAAUGUUUUUUGCCUCAUUAUGUAUAUAGGUAUGUUUUCCGAAUUCUUUAUCUCAUGAAAAUGCGAUUAAUAUUUAUGUUUUUUUAAUUCAAUUCCAUCCCAUCAAUCGAAAAGUUCACUCCAGUUGACAUCUUCAUUAUUAUCGCUC